GCUCAGUCAGUUAAGUGUCUGACUCUUGAUUUAAGCUCAGGUCAUGAUCUCACGGGUCGUGGGAUCGAGUCCCACAUUGGGCU
rnacentral:tRNA from 1 species